GAUGAACGCUAGCUACAGGCUUAACACAUGCAAGUCGAGGGGCAGCAUAUUUGUAGCAAUACAGAUGAUGGCGACCGGCGCACGGGUGAGUAACACGUAUCCAACCUGCCGUUUACUCGGGGAUAGGCUUUCGAAAGAAAGAUUAAUACCCGAUGGUAUAGAAGAAUCACAUGGUUUUUCUAUUAAAGAAUUUCGGUAAACGAUGGGGAUGCGUUCCAUUAGGCAGUUGGCGGGGUAACGGCCCACCAAACCUACGAUGGAUAGGGGUUCUGAGAGGAAGGUCCCCCACAUUGGAACUGAGACACGGUCCAAACUCCUACGGGAGGCAGCAGUGAGGAAUAUUGGUCAAUGGAUGAGAAUCUGAACCAGCCAAGUAGCGUGAAGGAUGACUGCCCUAUGGGUUGUAAACUUCUUUUAUAAGGGAAUAAAGUUGGCUAUGUAUAGUCAUUUGUAUGUACCUUAAGAAAAAGCAUCGGCUAACUCCGUG
rnacentral:rRNA from 1 species